GUAGGUACUAAUAAAAUCUAAACAUAUUGAGAUGCUAGCCAAAUAAUUCAAUAAACGAUAAACUUUAAUAACGUAAUAAUAAUAAUUAGAUACCUAUAUAGUAUAAUAAUAAUAAUAAUAAUUAUAAUAGUAAUAGUAUCAUUGUAUUAAAGAAAAUACAUUUAAAAAAAAAAAAAAAAAAAUUAUACACUGUAAAACAAUAAUAUUAUGGUCAGUAAAGCUAUAUUAUAUUUAAAUCGUUUUCAAACAAUAAAAAAUUAUACGGAUAAACAUUUAUAAUUAUUAUUAUACACUGAAUAGUAUAUUAAUAUAUUUAUUGUACAGGGUGAUUAAUAUUAUAUCGCAAGACACUGAUUAUCUCAGAAAGUAUUAAUUUCAUCUAUAUUUAUCAAAUUUUUAAUAUUGUCAUUUGAAAAUCAAAAUAUUAUAAUGGUUUUAACACCAAACAUAAUAAGGGUUACAAAAAAUAAGUGUAACGUAACAUUUAAGAACUGCUUGUUUUAUAAAUUUUUCAAAAAAAAAAAAAAAAAAUAGUUAAUACUUUCCGAAAUUUCCGAGUCUAUUACACAUUAUACGUUACAAUAAUAUAUGAUCAUCUGUAUAGGUAGGUAGACCUUAAUCUUAUACACAUACAUAUAUAUAUAUAUAUUUAUAAUAAAAUUAAUAAUAUAAUAACUUAGACGACUCAGAGUCGUUCUUAAAAUGUCUUGUAAAAUGUUAGCGUUAAUAACCGAUGGUAAACCAACAGAAUGUUCCCUACAGUUUGCGGCAAAUUCAUAGCCAUUUAGCGCUAACGGGAUACCGUAAGAACGGUCCUCAAAAUAAUGUAAUAUAAUUUUUUUAAAAAUUGUUUUUACUAUAAUAUUAUAAUGUUACACAUAGAAUUUCAUUUUAAACAUAAUAUUUUAGAUAUAGGCACGUUUAUAGUUACACGAGGCGUUUGAUCACGUGUGUGUGUUUGUCCCGAUCGAUCGAAUUUAUCGCGUCUGUCCCGAACGUCCCGGAAUUUAAUUAUUUUUCGAAACGCUAUAAUCUUUUUACCGGGUCGUAACAAAAUAUCUAGACGGCCGACUCUUUUGGACAUAAUCAAUAUUGUAUAAAGAUAAAUUUUUAAAAUAUAUAGAUAAAGAUAAGAGAUAAUUUCUAGAAUAAUAUUUAUCUAGACGAAUAUAAAAGAUACAUAGCAAUUUAGCUAUCUAGAUAAAAAAAAAAAAAUAUACGAAUAAUAUAAUAAUAUUAUUCAAUUCGUUAUUAACUAUCAUAAAACUAAGCGUUAAAAGUAAAUAGCUAAUGGGACGAAAGAGGUAACUAAUAG